UACGAAGGGUGCAAGCGUUACUCGGAAUUACUGGGCGUAAAGCGUGCGUAGGUGGUUUGUUAAGUCUGUUGUGAAAUCCCCGGGCUUAACCUGGGAACUGCACUUGAAACUACGAUGCUGGAGUAUGGCAGAGGGAGGUGGAAUUCCACGUGUAGCGGUGAAAUGCGUAGAGAUGUGGAGGAACACCGAUGGCGAAGGCAGCCUCCUGGGCCAAUACUGACGCUCAUGCACGAAAGCGUGGGGAGCGAACAGG
rnacentral:rRNA from 1 species